rnacentral:rRNA from 1 species
AUUGAACGCUGGCGGCAGGCCUAACACAUGCAAGUCGAGCGGAUGAAGAGAGCUUGCUCUCUGAUUUAGCGGCGGACGGGUGAGUAAUGCCUAGGAAUCUGCCUGGUAGUGGGGGAUAACGUCCGGAAACGGGCGCUAAUACCGCAUACGUCCUACGGGAGAAAGCAGGGGACCUUCGGGCCUUGCUCUAUCAGAUGAGCCUAGGUCGGAUUAGCUAGUUGGUGAGGUAAGGGCGCACCAAGGCGACGAUCCGUAACUGGUCUGAGAGGAUGAUCAGUCACACUGGAACUGAGACACGGUCCAGACUCCUACGGGAGGCAGCAGUGGGGAAUAUUGGACAAUGGGCGAAAGCCUGAUCCAGCCAUGCCGCGUGUGUGAAGAAGGUCUUCGGAUUGUAAAGCACUUUAAGUUGGGAGGAAGGGCAGUAAGUUAAUACCUUGCUGUUUUGACGUUACCGACAGAAUAAGCACCGGCUAACUUCGUGCCAGCCGCCGCAGUAACAC